UACAGAGGUCCCAAGCGUUGUUCGGAUUCAUUGGGCGUAAAGGGUGCGUAGGCGGCGCGGUAAGUCGGGUGUGAAAUCUCGGGGCUUAACUCCGAAACUGCAUUCGAUACUGCCGUGCUUGAGGACUGGAGAGGAGACUGGAAUUUACGGUGUAGCGGUGAAAUGCGCAGAUAUCAGGAGGAACACCGAUGGCGAAGGCAGGUCUCUGGGCCAUAACUGACGCUGAGAAGCGAAAGCAUGGGGAGCGAACAGG
rnacentral:rRNA from 1 species